rnacentral:rRNA from 1 species
ACCGGCGCACGGGUGCGUAACGCGUAUGCAAUCUGCCUCUUACUGGGGGAUAGCCUUUAGAAAUGAAGAUUAAUACCCCAUAGUAUCGUUAAUUGGCAUCAAUUAAUGAUUAAAGGUUACGGUAAGAGAUGAGCAUGCGUCCUAUUAGCUAGUUGGUAUGGUAACGGCAUACCAAGGCAACGAUAGGUAGGGGGCCUGAGAGGGUUAUCCCCCACACUGGUACUGAGACACGGACCAGACUCCUACGGGAGGCAGCAGUGAGGAAUAUUGGACAAUGGGGGCAACCCUGAUCCAGCCAUGCCGCGUGCAGGAAGACUGCCCUAUGGGUUGUAAACUGCUUUUAUACAGGAAGAAACACUCCCUCGUGAGGGAGCUUGACGGUACUGUAAGAAUAAGGAUCGGCUAACUCCGUGCCAGCAGCCGCGGUAAUACGGAGGAUCCAAGCGUUAUCCGGAAUCAUUGGGUUUAAAGGGUCCGUAGGUGGAUUAAUAAGUCAGAGGUGAAAUCCUGCAGCUCAACUGUAGAACUGCCUUUGAUACUGUUAAUCUUGAGUCAUUAUGAAGUGGUUAGAAUAUGUAGUGUAGCGGUGAAAUGCAUAGAUAUUACAUAGAAUACCAAUUGCGAAGGCAGAUCACUAAUAAUGUACUGA